rnacentral:rRNA from 1 species
UCCCAGCUGUAAACGAUGCCCGCUUGCUGUCACAGAGUCUUCGGGACUCUGUGGUGGCGGAGGGAAGCCGUUAAGCGGGCCGCCUGGGGAGUAUAGCCGAAAGGCCGAAACUUAAGGGAAUUGGCGGGGGGGCACACAAGGGGUGGGUCGUGCGGCUUAAUUGGAUUCGACACCGGGAAUCUCACCAGGGGGGAAGGCAGGAUGAAGGUCAGGCUGAAGACCUUACCUGACGG